UACGAAGGGAGCUAGCGUUGUUCGGAAUCACUGGGCGUAAAGCGCACGUAGGCGGAUGUGUCAGUCAGGGGUGAAAUCCCGGAGCUCAACUCCAGAACUGCCUUUGAUACUGGCAAUCUCGAGUCCGGGAGAGGUGAGUGGAACUGCGAGUGUAGAGGUGAAAUUCGUAGAUAUUCGCAAGAACACCAGUGGCGAAGGCGGCUCACUGGCCCGAUACUGACGCUGAGGCACGAAAGCGUGGGGAGCAAACAGG
rnacentral:rRNA from 1 species